GUCUACGGCCAUGCCACCCUGAACAAGCCCAGUGUCUGAUCUUGGAAGCUAAACAGGGUCGGGCCUGUUUAGUACGUGGACGGGAGACCACCUAGGAAGAUCAGAUGCUGUAGGCA
rnacentral:rRNA from 1 species